rnacentral:rRNA from 1 species
AGCGAACGCUGGCGGCAGGCCUAACACAUGCAAGUCGAACGGAUCCUUCGGGAUUAGUGGCGGACGGGUGAGGAACACGUGGGAACGUGCCUUUUGGUUCGGAACAACUCAGGGAAACUUGAGCUAAUACCGGAUGUGCCCUUCGGGGGAAAGAUUUAUCGCCAUUAGAGCGGCCCGCGUCUGAUUAGCUAGUUGGUGGGGUAAAGGCUCACCAAGGCUACGAUCAGUAGCUGGUCUGAGAGGAUGAUCAGCCACACUGGGACUGAGACACGGCCCAGACUCCUACGGGAGGCAGCAGUGGGGAAUCUUGCGCAAUGGGCGAAAGCCUGACGCAGCCAUGCCGCGUGAAUGAUGAAGGUCUUAGGAUUGUAAAAUUCUUUACCCGGGAUGAUAAUGACAGUACCGGGAGAAUAAGCCCCGGCUAACUCCGUGCCAGCAGCCGCGGUAAU